UUUCCGUAGGUGAACCUGCGGAAGGAUCAUUCAUAAUAAAGUGUUUUAUGGCACUUUUUAAAAAUCCAUAUCCACCUUGUGUGCAAUGUUAGAUCUCGUCAAUCUUGGCGAGAUUUUUAUACAUCAACUCAUUUUUUAACUAAUUUGUCUGAAAAAUAUUAUGAAUACUUAAUUCAAAAUACAACUUUCAACAACGGAUCUCUUGGCUCUG
rnacentral:misc_RNA from 1 species